CUCACGGCCUAUCAGCUUGUUGGUGAGGUAAUGGCUCACCAAGGCGACGACGGGUAGCCGGCCUGAGAGGGUGACCGGCCACACUGGGACUGAGACACGGCCCAGACUCCUACGGGAGGCAGCAGUGGGGAAUAUUGCACAAUGGGCGAAAGCCUGAUGCAGCGACGCCGCGUGAGGGAUGACGGCCUUCGGGUUGUAAACCUCUUUCAGCAGGGAAGAAGCCACAAGUGACGGUACCUGCAGAAGAAGCGCCGGCUAACUACGUGCCAGCAGCCGCGGUAAUACGUAGGGCGCAAGCGUUGUCCGGAAUUAUUGGGCGUAAAGAGCUCGUAGGCGGUUUGUCGCGUCUGCUGUGAAAGCCCGGGGCUUAACCCCGGGUGUGCAGUGGGUACGGGCAGACUAGAGUGCAGUAGGGGAGACUGGAAUUCCUGGUGUAGCGGUGGAAUGCGCAGAUAUCAGGAGGAACACCGAUGGCGAAGGCAGGUCUCUGGGCUGUUACUGACGCUGAGGAGCGAAAGCAUGGGGAGCGAACAGGAUUAGAUACCCUGGUAGUCCAUGCCGUAAACGUUGGGCACUAGGUGUGGGGGACAUUCCACGUUUUCCGCGCCGUAGCUAACGCA
rnacentral:rRNA from 1 species